rnacentral:rRNA from 1 species
GAUGAACGCUGGCGGCGUGCCUAAUACAUGCAAGUCGAGCGAACGGACGAGAAGCUUGCUUCUCUGAUGUUAGCGGCGGACGGGUGAGUAACACGUGGAUAACCUACCUAUAAGACUGGGAUAACUUCGGGAAACCGGAGCUAAUACCGGAUAAUAUUUUGAACCGCAUGGUUCAAAAGUGAAAGACGGUCUUGCUGUCACUUAUAGAUGGAUCCGCGCUGCAUUAGCUAGUUGGUAAGGUAACGGCUUACCAAGGCAACGAUGCAUAGCCGACCUGAGAGGGUGAUCGGCCACACUGGAACUGAGACACGGUCCAGACUCCUACGGGAGGCAGCAGUAGGGAAUCUUCCGCAAUGGGCGAAAGCCUGACGGAGCAACGCCGCGUGAGUGAUGAAGGUCUUCGGAUCGUAAAACUCUGUUAUUAGGGAAGAACAUAUGUGUAAGUAACUGUGCACAUCUUGACGGUACCUAAUCAGAAAGCCACGGCUAACUACGUGCCAGCAGCCGCGGUAAUACGUAGGUGGCAAGCGUUAUCCGGAAUUAUUGGGCGUAAAGCGCGCGUAGGCGGUUUUUUAAGUCUGAUGUGAAAGCCCACGGCUCAACCGUGGAGGGUCAUUGGAAACUGGAAAACUUGAGUGCAGAAGAGGAAAGUGGAAUUCCAUGUGUAGCGGUGAAAUGCGCAGAGAUAUGGAGGAACACCAGUGGCGAAGGCGACUUUCUGGUCUGUAACUGACGCUGAUGUGCGAAAGCGUGGGGAUCAAACAGGAUUAGAUACCCUGGUAGUCCACGCCGUAAACGAUGAGUGCUAAGUGUUAGGGGGUUUCCGCCCCUUAGUGCUGCAGCUAACGCAUUAAGCACUCCGCCUGGGGAGUACGACCGCAAGGUUGAAACUCGAAGGAAUUGACGGGGACCCGCACAAGCGGUGGAGCAUGUGGUUUAAUUCGAAGCAACGCGAAGAACCUUACCAAAUCUUGACAUCCUUUGACAACUCUAGAGAUAGAGCCUUCCCCUUCGGGGGACAAAGUGACAGGUGGUGCAUGGUUGUCGUCAGCUCGUGUCGUGAGAUGUUGGGUUAAGUCCCGCAACGAGCGCAACCCUUAAGCUUAGUUGCCAUCAUUAAGUUGGGCACUCUAAGUUGACUGCCGGUGACAAACCGGAGGAAGGUGGGGAUGACGUCAAAUCAUCAUGCCCCUUAUGAUUUGGGCUACACACGUGCUACAAUGGACAAUACAAAGGGCAGCGAAACCGCGAGGUCAAGCAAAUCCCAUAAAGUUGUUCUCAGUUCGGAUUGUGGUCUGCAACUCGACUACAUGAAGCUGGAAUCGCUAGUAAUCGUAGAUCAGCAUGCUACGGUGAAUACGUUCCCGGGUCU